AAGUCGUAACAAGGUUUCCGUAGGUGAACCUGCGGAAGGAUCAUUAUUUGGUCUUUUCCUUUUGAUUGAGCGCAAGCUCUUUUGAAAGUUAAACUCUGUGAACUGUAUUGUACUAUUGUAAUUUAUUGUUAUUUUUGAAUUCUUCAUGAAUUUAUAAAUUAAAGACAACUUUUAGCAAUGGAUCUCUUGGCUCUU
rnacentral:misc_RNA from 1 species